CGAACGGGUGAGUAACACGUGAGUAACCUGCCCCAGACUCUGGGAUAAGCCUUGGAAACGAGGUCUAAUACCGGAUACGAGACGAGAUCGCAUGGUCAUCGUCUGGAAAGAAUUUCGGUCUGGGAUGGACUCGCGGCCUAUCAGCUUGUUGGUGAGGUAAUGGCUCACCAAGGCGACGACGGGUAGCCGGCCUGAGAGGGCGACCGGCCACAUUGGAACUGAGACACGGUCCAGACUCCUACGGGAGGCAGCAGUGGGGAAUAUUGCACAAUGGGCGCAAGCCUGAUGCAGCGACGCCGCGUGGGGGAUGAAGGCCUUCGGGUUGUAAACCCCUUUCAGCAGGGAAGAAGCGAAAGUGACGGUACCUGCAGAAGAAGCGCCGGCUAACUACGUGCCAGCAGCCGCGGUAAUACGUAGGGCGCAAGCGUUGUCCGGAAUUAUUGGGCGUAAAGAGCUCGUAGGCGGUCUGUCGCGUCUGCUGUGAAAACCCGAGGCUCAACCUCGGGCCUGCAGUGGGUACGGGCAGACUAGAGUGUGGUAGGGGAGACUGGAAUUCCUGGUGUAGCGGUGGAAUGCGCAGAUAUCAGGAGGAACACCAAUGGCGAAGGCAGGUCUCUGGGCCACUACUGACGCUGAGGAGCGAAAGCAUGGGGAGCGAACAGAUUAGAUACCCUGGUAGUCCAUGCCGUAAACGGUGGGC
rnacentral:rRNA from 1 species